CCUACGGGAGGCAGCAGUGGGGCAUAUUGCGCAAUGGGCGAAAGCCUGACGCAGCGACGCCGCGUGAGUGAUGAAGGUCUUCGGAUCGUAAACCUCUGUCAGCAGGGAAGAACGGUCACUGUGCUAAUCAGCAGUGAAUUGACGGUACCUGCAAAGGAAGCACCGGCUCACUCCGUGCCAGCAGCCGCGGUAAUACGGAGGGUGCGAGCGUUAAUGGGAAUUAAUGGGCGGAAAGCGCUCGUAGGCGGUAUGGCAAGUCAAGGGUGAAAUCCCCGCGCUCAACGUGGGAACUGCCUUUGAAACUGGCAAAGUGGAGUGUGUAGGAGGAGAGUGGAAUUCCAGGUGUAGGAGUGAAAUCCGUAGAUAUCUGGAGGAACAUCAGUGGCGAAGGCGACUAUCUGGCACAUAACUGACGCUGAGGAGCGAAAGCGUGGGUAGCAAACAGGAUUAGAUACCCCUGUAGUC
rnacentral:rRNA from 1 species